CGCUCUUGUCGCUUCCCACUGCUGUCUCAUUUUAUCAUCAGCUGUCCACUUCGGGUUAGUAUACUUGAGCAAGAUUU
rnacentral:snoRNA from 1 species